GGCUAACCUAGCCUAAAUUAAAAAAAAAAAAAUUGUUUAUAAAAAAAAAAUAAAAUGGAUGGAAAACCGAUACCUUAAACAUAACUUCGGUUUUCGGCGUAUUUCAGGGGCUAAACCAAAACAAGAAUGGACAAACCUUAAAAGGCUUUUAUAGGGGUGUAGUGUUUGGAGCCAUGUGACAGUAGCAUUAAGGCACAUUUUUCGUUCAUUCCACUAAAACGUCGAGCUCAUAAACCCGUGAUGAAACAGAAUCUCUUUUGAUGACUCAAAGCAACCACGAUUACUGCAUUCCUUUAAAAGCAGCGUUGGAAAUAGUUUUGUUUUCAUGUCAGGAGCGCAAAGCCACAAGGCUGCAUAAAGCAAAGAUUUAUUGGACGGACAUUGCCACACUUGCUUGGGGGAGGGAGGGCAGGGGGGGAAUGAGCUUCUCAAUGUAUUUCUAUUAUCCUUCCUACCUGAAAUGGUCAUGGAGCAAGCAUAAACACUGUUACAAUCGACCUUUUUACAACGAAAUCUAUUUGCCAGCGUUAUUAUGCUGAUGGGAAUGCUAUUGAGCUGCUCUCUUCCCUUGUUCGUGCUCAGUUUCAUAUGGCUCUUCUAGAAGAAUCUGUAAAAGCCACAUUCAGGAAGUUGCUCCCUGUUUAUUUUUAUUAUUCGUCCGGAAGUACGUGGGGUAUUUUCGUUCACAAAAUAUAUAUCUGUAUGUGGCUUAUUGAGUAAGAAGAGGGGAAGUGGAGAAGGAGAAGAAGUGGAAGGCCUCUCUCUCAGUUUGUUGCUUAUAUACCAAACAAAGAGUCCUGGAAGCCUGUGCGCGAUCAAUCUUACUCGCCAAAAGGUCUGACAGCUCGGUGCCCUCACAACACAUUUAAGGCUUCUAACUCUCCCCCGGAUCAAAUGCAGCCAGGAAGCGCCGAGAAACAGUGGUCACUCAGAUUAGAACCGGUUUCUGCUCGCACUGGUAGUCUGUUUGUCGCUGGAGGGAUUUUUUUUUUAAGAACAAGGGGAAAAAAGGAAUCUGGUCACACAAGAUGCGACCAUUUCCUCUAUAAGAGCCAUCGAACCCUCCACGAAGACCCGGGUGACAUUUUUAUUAUUAUGGAUGUGCCCACGCAGAUGAGAGAGACGCGCCGGGAAAGAGAAGGGGGCCCACCCUCAAGGAGGAGAGAGUAAAUAGAUCAAAUGUUGUUGUUUUUUCUUUUUCUUUUUUUAUCUGCGAGUUGUUCUUGUUUUUUUUUUAAAUGAGAUCUAAAGCGAAGCAGUUUUGACUCUUUAAAUUAUUUUUAAAAAUUUCUGGCAGGACUUUAAUUUAUGAAAUUUACUUCUUGUAUAUAAUAUAUGUAGUUUUAAAAGAGCGGUGAUUUGAUGCUGCUUUACCUAUGAAUCCAUACCAUCGUUGAUAAUCCACUUUUAUUUUUAGAUAGAUAUAACAGCGCUAUGUGAUAAUAUAAAUGUGAAACUGCUUGCGAAUUUUAAAAUUAAAACGGGUGAAUCUGGUUUUUUUGUUUUUUUGUUGUUUUUUUUUCAUUUCAAUGCCUUUAUUUGUUUCCUCGAACUGGAGCAGCAUGGAAUGUUUGACAUCGAGAAGAAGGAAAAAAAUGAUGAUGUGUUUUGCCUUUUAUUCAAUAAAGAAACUGCAAACGUG